UGGUGAAUUCUCAAUACAAUUUGAGACUCCGGUGCCGUUAAAAAGAUGUAACUAUCUUCCGGUAGAUGUCGCUUUACGCCACCCCAAAGGCGUGGAUACAUAAGGGAAGGAAUGGAAAGAUUUGCGAGGUCCUGGUAGGCUUCCGUAGCUCAAUUGGUUAAGAGCAACGCACGGAUUGCGGAGGUUGAGGGUUCAAGUCCUGAUGGAAGCGUAACUUUUUCCAUUUUUUCCUUUAAUAUAAAAUUUGGAGUAUCGCUCGCAGACGUAUCUGUUUGUUAAUAAAUUACUUUAAAAUAGAAAGUCUUCAAAGGACAAAAUUUCUUCUUAGCUGCUGUGAAAGAAUCCUGAUAGAGUUAAACCAAUAUAUCUCUGCAACGAUUUUGACAGCACAGACUGUGCAAAUGUUAUUAAGACGACAUAAUUUCAUAGAAGAUUGACGUUUAAAAUAACACUCGCAAAGUCUGUCGCAGACUUAUCCUGGUCUAACUCUAAUACCAAAAAGUGCAAAGUUCGCGGUACAGUGGACCCUCUGCUAUUGGCGUAGAUGUGUCACCGUGCGCAGACGCAGCCUAUCUCGCGAACAUUCACUAGUGGUGUUGCGGCGGCGUACAUGUUCACACGUGCUUUUAAAAGUUUAACAAAUUGCUAGACUGUCCAGUGCGUUUAAAAAGAGGACUUUGGGAAUUUUAUCUAUAAUAAAACGUCAACGGAUAACUAUUUGUACGUAGGUAUAAAACGUAUUUAAUAGCAAAUAACUUAUGACACAACCAAUGAUAAGUGACAUCAUGUAAAUAUCCACCCUUGACGAAAUAUAAAAAAACUAUUUUCUUUUUAAUUUAUUAAGCCUUUAACUGUAAGUUUUCUUAUUAAACUUAUCAACUG